rnacentral:rRNA from 1 species
AUUGAACGCUGGCGGCAUGCCUUACACAUGCAAGUCGAACGGCAGCACGGGAGCAAUCCUGGUGGCGAGUGGCGAACGGGUGAGUAAUAUAUCGGAACGUGCCCAGUCGUGGGGGAUAACGCAGCGAAAGCUGUGCUAAUACCGCAUACGAUCUACGGAUGAAAGCGGGGGAUCGCAAGACCUCGCGCGAUUGGAGCGGCCGAUAUCAGAUUAGCUAGUUGGUGAGGUAAAGGCUCACCAAGGCGACGAUCUGUAGCUGGUCUGAGAGGACGACCAGCCACACUGGAACUGAGACACGGUCCAGACUCCUACGGGAGGCAGCAGUGGGGAAUUUUGGACAAUGGGCGCAAGCCUGAUCCAGCAAUGCCGCGUGCAGGGUGAAGGCCUUCGGGUUGUAAACUGCUUUUGUACGGAACGAAGCGGCGAGCUCUAAUACAGUUUGCUAAUGACGGUACCGUAAGAAUAAGCACCGGCUAACUCUGUGCCAGCCGCCGCCGUAAUAC